rnacentral:rRNA from 1 species
UACGUAGGGCGCGAGCGUUGUCCAGAUUUAUUGGGCGUAAAGAGCUCGUAGGCGGCUUGUCGCGUCGAAUGUGAAAUCUCAGGGCUCAACUCUGACAUUGCAUUCGAUACGGGCAGGCUAGAGUUCGGUAGGGGAGACUGGAAUUCCUGGUGUAGCGGUGAAAUGCGCAGAUAUCAGGAGGAACACCGGUGGCGAAGGCGGGUCUCUGGGCCGAUACUGACGCUGAGGAGCGAAAGCGUGGGGAGCGAACAGG